GAUGAACGCUGGCGGCGUGCCUAAUACAUGCAAGUCGAGCGAACGGACGAGACGCUUGCUUCUCUGAUGUUAGCGGCGGACGGGUGAGUAACACGUGGAUAACCUACCUAUAAGACUGGGAUAACUUCGGGAAACCGGAGCUAAUACCGGAUGAUAUUUUGAACCGCAUGGUUCAAAAGUGAAAGACGGUCUUGCUGUCACUUAUAGCUGGAUCCGCGCUGCAUUAGCUAGUUGGUACGGUAACGGCUUACCAAGGCAACGAUGCAUAGCCGACCUGAGAGGGUGAUCGGCCACACUGGAACUGAGACACGGUCCAGACUCCUACGGGAGGCAGCAGUAGGGAAUCUUACGCAAUGGGAGAAAGCCUGACGGAGCAACGCCGCGUGAGUGAUGAAGGUCUUCGGAUCGUAAAACUCUGUUAUUAGGGAAGAACAUAUGUGUAAGUAACUGUGCACAUCUUGACGGUACCUAAUCAGAAAGCCACGGCUAACUACGUG
rnacentral:rRNA from 1 species